GUUUGAUUCUGGCUCAGAACGAACGCUGGCGGCGUGGAUAAGACAUGCAAGUCGAACGAUUACUGUUGGGUAGCAAUAUUCGGCAGUGAAAGUGGCGCAAGGGUGCGUAACACGUGGGCAAUUUGCCGUAAAGUCUGGAAUAACUUGCUGAAAGGCGAGCUAAUACCGGAUGUGAUUCUCGGGAGGCAUCUCUCGAGAUUUAAAGUCGGGGACCGCAAGGCCUGACGCUUUUCGAUAAACCCGCGGCCUAUCAGCUAGUUGGUGAGGUAACGGCUCACCAAGGCUAAGACGGGUAGCUGGUCUGAGAGGACGACCAGCCACACUGGAACUGAGACACGGUCCAGACACCUACGGGUGGCAGCAGUCGAGAAUUUUUCACAAUGGGCGCAAGCCUGAUGGAGCGACGCCGCGUGGGGGAUGAAUGGCUUCGGCCCGUAAACCCCUGUCAUUCGCGAUCAAACCUCGCGAUCUAACACAUCGCGAGUUGAUAGUAGCGGAAGAGGAAGGGACGGCUAACUCUGUGCCAGCAGCCGCGGUAAUACAGAGGUCCCAAGCGUUGUUCGGAUUCACUGGGCGUAAAGGGUGCGUAGGCGGUCGGGUAAGUCUGACGUGAAAUAUCGGAGCUUAACUCCGAAACUGCGUCGGAGACUAUUCGGCUAGAGGAUCGGAGGGGGGGCUGGAAUUCUCGGUGUAGCAGUGAAAUGCGUAGAUAUCGAGAGGAACACCCGUGGCGAAGGCGAGUCCCUGGACAAUUCCUGACGCUGAGGCACGAAAGCUAGGGGAGCAAACAGGAUUAGAUACCCUGGUAGUCCUAGCCCUAAACUGUGCAUGUUUGCUGUGAGAGGAAUCGACCCCUUUCGUGGCGAAGCUAACGCGUUUAACAUGCCGCCUGGGAAGUACGGCCGCAAGGUUAUAACUCAAAGAAAUUGACGGGGGCCUGCACAAGCGGUGGAGUAUGUGGCUCAAUUCGAUGCAACGCGAAGAACCUUACCCGGCCUUGACAUGCAAGUGGUAGAAGGAUGAAAGUCCGACGACCCCGCAAGGGGAGUCUGCACAGGUGCUGCAUGGCUGUCGUCAGCACGUGUCGUGAGAUGUUGGGUUAAGUCCCGCAACGAGCGCAACCCCUGUGUCCAGUUGCCACUUCUUAAUUGGAAGCACUCUGGACAGACUGCCUCGCUUCAACGAGGAGGAAGGUGGGGAUGACGUCAAGUCAGUAUGGCCCUUACGGCCAGGGCUGCACACGUACUACAAUGCCCGGUACAAAGGGAAGCAAGACCGUCAGGUGGAGCAAAUCCCCUAAAACCGGGCCCAGUUCAGAUUGUCGUCUGCAACUCGACGGCAUGAAGCUGGAAUCGCUAGUAAUGGCGCAUCAGCUACGGCGCCGUGAAUACGUUCCCAGGCCUUGUACACACCGCCCGUCACAUCAUGAAAGCCGGUUGUACCCGAAGUCGCCCUUUAUCAGGUGCCGAAGGUAUGGCUGGUGAUUGGGAUGAAGUCGUAACAAGGUA
rnacentral:rRNA from 1 species